GAAAGCUUGCUUUCUUGCUGACGAGUGGCGGACGGGUGAGUAAUGCUUGGGAAUCUGGCUUAUGGAGGGGGAUAACGACGGGAAACUGUCGCUAAUACCGCGUAUUAUCGGAAGAUGAAAGUGCGGGACUGAGAGGCCGCAUGCCAUAGGAUGAGCCCAAGUGGGAUUAGGUAGUUGGUGGGGUAAAGGCCUACCAAGCCAGCGAUCUCUAGCUGGUCUGAGAGGAUGACCAGCCACACUGGAACUGAGACACGGUCCAGACUCCUACGGGAGGCAGCAGUGGGGAAUAUUGCGCAAUGGGGGGAACCCUGACGCAGCCAUGCCGCGUGAAUGAAGAAGGCCUUCGGGUUGUAAAGUUCUUUCGGUAUUGAGGAAGGUUGAUGUGUUAAUAGCACAUCAAAUUGACGUUAAAUACAGAAGAAGCACCGGCUAACUCCGUGCCAGCAGCCGCGGUAAUACGGAGGGUGCGAGCGUUAAUCGGAAUAACUGGGCGUAAAGGGCACGCAGGCGGUUAUUUAAGUGAGGUGUGAAAGCCCCGGGCUUAACCUGGGAAUUGCAUUUCAGACUGGGUAACUAGAGUACUUUAGGGAGGGGUAGAAUUCCACGUGUAGCGGUGAAAUGCGUAGAGAUGUGGAGGAAUACCGAAGGCGAAGGCAGCCCCUUGGGAAUGUACUGACGCUCAUGUGCGAAAGCGUGGGGAGCAAACAGGAUUAGA
rnacentral:rRNA from 1 species